UUAUAACCAGCAAAUUGAUCCAAAUCUGAAGCAUACCCAUCCAUGUCCUUCUCCCCCACCCCUAAAGCGUAUCGAUGUCCUUCUCCCCCAAAUCGAUUCAGCCUUAUCAGAGGUCUGGAAGCGGUCGUAGGCAACAACAAUUUGAUAUCUCCCCCAAUUUUUAUAUUCUCAGACUCAGACUCAGGAAUAGUGGAGGCCACUUGAAAAAGAAAAUGGAGUUUGAUGCGCCUGACUGUAAUAAGUCAACUCUUACUUCCUGCACUGGUUUCCUGAAAUGAGAGAGCUGCGAAAGAUGAUGCUUCUCGAAUCUGUUCUUCUUCUGCUUCCGCUUCUUCUAUGCCUCCACUUCCGUCUCGCCGUCUCCGAAAUCUUCUUCGAAGAGCGAUUUGAAGAUGGGUGGAAGAGCCGGUGGGUGUUGUCGGACUGGAAAAGGGCCGAAGGAAAAGCAGGAACGUUUAAGUACACUGCAGGGAAAUGGUCUGGAGAUCCUGAUGAUAAAGAACGGUUGCAAAAACUAAGGCAUGAGGAAAGCAUCCAAUGAGAUCUGACAGCUUACUCUGGCUCUGAGUCCUUGAGUUGAACCUUGGGUCUUAUUUGGCUAUUGUUACAUUCUCAGACUCAGACACAGGAAAAGUUUCAAAGGUACUCAAAACAACAUUGAAGAACAGAAGGAUGAAGACCUGGAGCUACCAUUGUUCGACUUGUCAACAAUAGAGACUGCUACCAAUAAAUUUUCAAUUAAUAAUAAACUUGGAGAAGGUGGUUUUGAAUCUGUGUACGAGGGUACACUACUAGAUGGAAAAGAAAUUGCAGUGAAGCGGCUCUCAAGAAGUUCUGGACAAGGAAUGAAAGAGUUCAAAAAUGAAGUGAUACUGAUUGCAAAACUUCAGCACCGCAAUCUUGUAAAGCUUCUUCACAAGUUUCAUUUGCUCUUACUCUCUUAAUGUUGUGAACUAUUCUUGGACAAGGGGGAAAAUCUUAGUGAUAUUGCACCUUCAACAACAAUGUAUUUUGGAAGGCAGCCUUGUUUUUUGUAAUCCAAGAAUUUACUUUGGUUUGAAAUGUAUUUUGCUUGGAAUGUAAAGAACAUCUUGCUAUGAAUGUAAAGUUUUAAUAUUUUUGAUUGAGUUGUGGAUUUGUUCACUUUAUUGUAAAUAUCUGAAGUAUAUUUAUUAUAGAGAAAUAAAAGUAUUA